AAACCAACAGGGAUUGCCUUAGUAACGGCGAGUGAAGCGGCAAAAGCUCAAAUUUGAAAUCUAGCACUUUCAGUGUUCGAGUUGUAAUUUGAAGAAGGUAACUUUGGAAUUGGCUCUUGUCUAUGUUCCUUGGAACAGGACGUCACAGAGGGUGAGAAUCCCGUGCGAUGAGAUGUCCAAUUCUAUGUAAAGUGCUUUCGAAGAGUCGAGUUGUUUGGGAAUGCAGCUCUAAGUGGGUGGUAAAUUCCAUCUAAAGCUAAAUAUUGGCGAGAGACCGAUAGCGAACAAGUACAGUGAUGGAAAGAUGAAAAGAACUUUGAAAAGAGAGUGAAAAAGUACGUGAAAUUGUUGAAAGGGAAGGGCUUGAGAUCAGACUUGGUAUUUUGUGUUCCUUAUCCUUCUUGGAUUAGGUUCCUCACAGCUUACCGGGCCAGCAUCGGUUUGGAUGGCAGGAUAAUGACAUUGGAAUGUAGCUUUGCUUCGGUGAAGUGUUAUAGACUUUGUUGAUACUGCCUAUCUAGACCGAGGACUGCGUCUUUGAACUAGGA
rnacentral:rRNA from 1 species